rnacentral:ncRNA from 2 species
UUGAUGCCAACUGGAGAGAGAUUGCUCAGGUAAUCCACCGAAGGGGCAAGCAGCGUUGGCUGCUAAACUCUCAGGUAAACAGGACAGAGGGAGGGGC